UAAUACUUGUCGGAGUGCCUAACUAAAUAAUUAGUUAAGGCUGAGAUCGCGAAAGCGGGAUCCGUGAACCUGAUCAGGCUAAUACCUGCGUAGGGAACAAGCUGCCUAAAAUA
rnacentral:ncRNA from 2 species